rnacentral:rRNA from 1 species
UACGAAGGGAGCUAGCGUUGUUCGGAAUCACUGGGCGUAAAGGGCUCGUAGGCGGCCAACUAAGUCGGACGUGAAAUCCCCAGGCUCAACCCUCGAAUGCCGGUGGAUACUGUCGGGCUAGAGUACGGAAGAGGCGAGUGGAAUUCCUGGUGUAGCGGUGAAAUGCGCAGAUAUCAGGAGGAACACCAAUUGCGAAGGCAGCUCGCUGGGACGUUACUGACGCUGAGACGCGAAAGCGUGGGGAGCAAACAGG